rnacentral:tRNA from 1 species
GGGGGUAUAGCUCAGUUGGUAGAGCGCUGCCUUUGCAAGGCAGAUGUCGUCAGUUCGAAUCUGACUAUCUCCA